rnacentral:rRNA from 1 species
GGACCCGCACAAGUAGUGGAGCAUGUGGUUUAAUUCGAAGAUACGCGCAGAACCUUACCAACACUUGACAUGUUCGUCGCGACUUUAAGAGAUUAAAGUUUUCGGUUCGGCCGGACGAAACACAGGUGCUGCAUGGCUGUCGUCAGCUCGUGUCGUGAGAUGUUGGGUUAAGUCCCGCAACGAGCGCAACCCUCACUUUUAGUUGCCAUCAUUAAGUUGGGCACUCUGAAAGAACUGCCAGUGAUAAGCUGGAGGAAGGUGGGGAUGACGUCAAGUCCUCAUGGCCCUUACGUGUUGGGCUACACACGUGCUACAAUGGUAUCUACAACAGGAAGCAAGACUGCGAAGUU